UAGGGAAUCUUCGGCAAUGGACGAAAGUCUGACCGAGCAACGCCGCGCGAGUGAAGAAGGUUUUCGGAUCGUAAAACUCUGUUGUUAGAGAAGAACAAGGACGUUAGUAACUGAACGUCCCCUGACGGUAUCUAACCAGAAAGCCACGGCUAACUACGUGCCAGCAGCCGCGGUAAUACGUAGGUGGCAAGCGUUGUCCGGAUUUAUUGGGCGUAAAGCGAGCGCAGGCGGUUUCUUAAGUCUGAUGUGAAAGCCCCCGGCUCAACCGGGGAGGGUCAUUGGAAACUGGGAGACUUGAGUGCAGAGGAGGAGAGUGGAAUUCCAUGUGUAGCGGUGAAGUGCGUAGAUAUAUGGAGGAACACCAGUGGCGAAGGCGGCUCUCUGGUCUGUAACUGACGCUGAGGCUCGAAAGCGUGGGGAGCAAACAGG
rnacentral:rRNA from 1 species